GAGAGAGAGAGAGAGAGAGAGAGAGAGAGGGAGAGGGAGAGAGGGGGGGGAGGAGAGAGAGAGAGAGAGAAUUUUUUAAUAUUUAUUUUUCAGUUUUCGGUGGACACAACAUCUUUAUUUUAUUUUUAUGUGGUGCUGAGGAUUGAACCCAGCGCCCCGCGCAUGCCAGGCGAGCGCGUUACAGCUUGAGCCACAUCCCCAGCCUGAGUUCUCAGUAUUUUAACACUCUGAAUUUUAAUCUUUCAGGAUUGUUAUUUCCAAGAUUUUGAUCCUUUAUCUUACCACAAUCAGGACUUCAGAAAAUUACAGACAUUUCUCUCUCUCUCUCUCUCUCUCUCUCUCUCUCUCUCUCUCUCUCUCUUUUUCUUUUUUUCU
rnacentral:miRNA from 1 species